AAGGUUUUAAGUUAAGAUAAACUAAUAACCUUCAAAGUUAAUAAUAAAAUUAAAUUUUUAAGCCUUA
rnacentral:tRNA from 1 species